rnacentral:rRNA from 1 species
AGCGAACGCUGGCGGCAGGCCUAACACAUGCAAGUCGAACGAACCUUUCGGGGUUAGUGGCGGACGGGUGGGUAACACGUGGGAACGUGCCUUUAGGUUCGGAAUAACUCAGGGAAACUUGUGCUAAUACCGAAUGUGCCCUCCGGGGGAAAGAUUUAUCGCCUUUAGAGCGGCCCGCGUCUGAUUAGCAAGUUGGUAGAGUUAAUGGCUCACCAAGGCGACGAUCAGUAGCUGGUCUGAGAGGAUGAUCAGCCACAUUGGGACUGAGACACGGCCCAAACUCCUACGGGAGGCAGCAGUGGGGAAUCUUGCGCAAUGGGCGAAAGCCUGACGCAGCCAUGCCGCGUGAAUGAUGAAGGUCUUAGGAUUGUAAAAUUCUUUCACCGGUGACGAUAAUAACGGUACCCGGAGAAGAAGCCCCGGCUAACUUCGUG